AGUGAACGCUGGCGGCGUGCCUAAUACAUGCAAGUCGAACGAUGAAGUCCUAGCUUGCUAGGAUGGAUUAGUGGCGCACGGGUGAGUAAUAUAUAGUUAAUCUGCCCUACACAGAGGAACAACAGUUGGAAACGACUGCUAAUACCUCAUACUCCUAUUUGACAUAAGUUAAAUAGGGAAAAUCUUUUCGGUGUAGGAUGAGACUAUAUCGUAUCAGCUAGUUGGUAAGGUAAUGGCUUACCAAGGCUAUGACGCGUAACUGGUCUGAGAGGAUGAUCAGUCACAUUGGAACUGAGACACGGUCCAAACUCCUACGGGAGGCAGCAGUAAGGAAUAUUGCGCAAUGGGGGAAACCCUGACGCAGCAACGCCGCGUGGAGGAUGACACUUUUCGGAGCGUAAACUCCUUUUAUCAGGAAAGAAUAAUGACGGUACCUGAUGAAUAAGCACCGGCUAACUCCGUG
rnacentral:rRNA from 1 species